rnacentral:rRNA from 1 species
UGGGGAAUCUUGGACAAUGGGGGCAACCCUGAUCCAGCCAUGCCGCGUGAGUGAUGAAGGCCUUAGGGUCGUAAAGCUCUUUCGCCUGUGAAGAUAAUGACGGUAGCAGGUAAAGAAACCCCGGCUAACUCCGUGCCAGCAGCCGCGGUAAUACGGAGGGGGUUAGCGUUGUUCGGAAUUACUGGGCGUAAAGCGCACGUAGGCGGACCAGAAAGUUGGGGGUGAAAUCCCGGGGGCUCAACCCCGGAACUGCCUCCAAAACUAUUGGUCUAGAGUUCGAGAGAGGUGAGUGGAAUUCCAAGUGUAGAGGUGAAAUUCGUAGAUAUUUGGAGGAACACCAGUGGCGAAGGCGGCUACCUGGACCGGUUCUGACGCUGAGGCGCGAAAGCGUGGGGAGCAAACAGGAUUAGAUACCCUGGUAGUCCACGCU